UAACUCUGGAGAAAAAAAAAAGAAAAUUUGAAAACUGCAACAGAGAUGAGUUAUGGCAUAAUUAGAAAUUAUUUUGCUUAUCUGCUUCUUCUCAAUUACUCAUAAAUCUACCCAAUGAAGCAUGAUCUUUAGGACCCAGAAGAUCAAUUCCAUGACACUUUGUGUGUGAGGUGAUGCAGUUAUGGGUUACAAGCUGUUUGUACUUGUACAAUGAUUUGCAUUCUAGUUCCUAAAUUUAGAGUAUCCCAUUUAAAUGUACUUGAAAAAAACAUUUCUGGUGCCCGUGGGCCUUAAGGAACUGACCUGAGCUACAGCUAAUGCCAAUACUGAGGUGCCUGGUAAAAUUUCAUCUGUCUUUCCAAGCAGAUAUACCCUAAAUGCCUGUGAGACUCAAACCCCAUUCACUGUAAAAUAAAAACUGAUUUCAUAAGCUAGUGAAUACACUGAGAAAAGGUCACUUCUUCAGUCUCCAUUCACGCAAACAACUCUUUAUUCAUGAAGAAUUCACACUGUUUUUAGUGGAAUAGGGACAACUGAGAACACUUACAUGAGCUAAGGCUUAUAAACUAAGACCCCAAGGAUUCUGGAGUCUCUGAUUCUUCUCUGUAAUUACGUAAUUCUUAAAUAAAAUAAAAAUACUAACAAGCCAGUAAAUGUUCUUAUGGUUACAGGAAUUUGGGAAUACCAUCAUGUAAACCCAAUGCUGUAAAGUCUGACUAAUUUCAGUCAGUUCAUCUACACUUGCCCUCCUUAACUUUAUACUGUCAUGGCCACUAUUCCUAAUAGUCCAGAUCACUCGGCAAUAAAUGGUUAGGUGCCUCCAGCAGAGGCCAUAUGAGCACCCAGCAGAGUGUAAGAAUUAGCUCAUGCCUUAUAGACACACUUUCAUGGUGUGAGAGUGGUGUUUGCCUCAUCUGCACCCACGUGACAGGGCUGAUUCAUGACCAGCCUCUGAUCAAUUCUGACCCAUUUUCUGCAGCACUGCUGUUGAAGGUGAUCAUUUCCUCAUGCUGGUACAGCAGAUCAUUCCUAAUUAAAUAAAAGGUCUUGCAUUUGUCCUUACAGCAUUGUAUCCUAUUGGAUACAAUUUCCUUCCAGACCAUUAGUUCUAUUUGUCGGGGUCACUUUGAGUUCUAAUCCUGCCCUUGGGUAAGCUUGUCUUAGCUGUGAGUUGUCUGCAAAACUAAAAAGUACAUUCACUAUUCUUUCAUUCAUAUCAAUCAUGAAAACACUGGGGACUCCUGACCUAGCACAGACAUCUCUGGAAAUCCAUUUGAUACGUUCUCCAAUUAGACAAUGAGAUUUACUCUCCAAAUACAGUUUUGCAACAAAUCUUAUCAUAUCUUUCAAACAGUGGCUUCCUCAGAGCCAUUUUUAGAAGUUACUUCCAGUUUGUAUGAGCCCAUAUAUGCAAAAGAAAACAAAAACUAUUUAAUAGUAGUGUUUCAAUAAAAUUUUGUGAAAUGAUGAUCAUGAUCAACUCUUCACUCUCAGUGAGUAGUCAAGCACAAUAGUGUCUCCUCCACUAAUAAUACAAGUUAGUAGAACAUAAUUCAGAUACCUUUGUGAUAUUUGUUGUCUUCGGUGUCACUUUUAUAGCAGUAUCCCAAAACAAGGACCACAUUCUUGAGACUCCCUUUUUCAAAGAAAUAAAAUGUCACAUCUUCAUUUCAAUGUGAAUUUUUUAAUUUAAGGACAGAAAGAGUAAAUGGCAUCAAGGCAUAAGAGCAUAAGAGGACAGAAAGCAGAGUUCAAUCAAUCAGACCCUUUAUUCAAAAUCAUUAACCAUGAAAAACCCAGACACAAAGACAAUAUAGUUCCCAUCUCCAUUUAAUGUCAGGGUUUAUCAGGGUUCCAAGGCAUAAGCACAGGAUCAGCCGACCAGCCUGCUGAACAAGCCCAAGAACAAAGCACCUUAUUAUACAGCACAGGCAGAGCUGGUGCAGUCACAGGGAACAGAUGGCACAGCAAAAGGACAGGCUGCAAGUGAAGUCCCAGUGCACAGCAAAACCUCCAGUUCAGGCAAAGGAAAGUCAGAGGAAGGUGAGGUAUGUUUGACUCAUAGGACUUUGCCAGCACUAUGACCUGGACUGUAGUGUAUGGAUUCUUCUGGUGCCAGAAAGGAAGAAACAGCCCGCAGAAUAAGAUCCUGAUGGCAAGGAGAAAACAUCCACAGCCUGCAACUGUGAUAUUUGCUAGCAGAAUUACAGUGCUGAAUUCACAACAGCUUCAGUGUUCAGUUGCUUGUUAUUUUUGGACAGCAAACACACUUUAAAUAACGCUGACAGGGAAACUCCAGAGUUUUUCCAAAACACAGUGGAAAGUGAUGGGAAUCCACAUAUUGUGCCACAAAGUACUUUUCAAACUAAUGAGUAUUUUGACUGUAUUCACCACAGCAGUACCACAGACUUGAGUCUAUAUGGCCUUUAUUACUUUUGGGAACAGUGCACAGGUGAAGGAACUUUUGACAGCCAAGGAGUGUCCCUUCCUCAUCUGCAUUCCUGUGGCUGUUUGUGGUCACCACUGAAACCUCACAACUCCUGUCUACCUACAGCAGCUCAAAACAACUGUCCCUGGUGACAGCAGCAGCACAUCUGUACAAGUCCACACCCCAAGUCCAGGUGUGUAGCACUUUACCAGCUCUGCUGUGAUCUGCCUGUGACCCAGAUCUAAAAGAACAAUUCCUGAAUGAGGAUGGAAGAAGAAAACUAGCCAAUAAGCAAUGAAAGAAAAAUUGUUAAAAUCCAGUAUAGUCCACAGGGAGAAAAGGCAGAAGCGUAACACUUGAGAUGGGGAAAGAACACAGAUAGACCAUGAGACAGAGGAUGGUGAGAGCUCUGCUGAAGCACAGCACAGGGAUGCAGGUAAGGUGGGGAGUUCACGUGCAGACCAGUGACAAGUCAGGGAAGAGCUGCUGAUUUACGUGGGCACAGGUAUUCAGCCUACUGGUGUUCUGUUUACACCCUAGAGUCUGACGCUGAUGGAAGACGACAGCCGUGGAGGACAAUGAAUGAACAAAUCCUGGAUAAUGCUAAUCUGUUCCUGGAACACCCUAACAAACAGUACAGAGCAAACCUAAACUUAGCAGUGAUUUCAAAGUACUCAUCACUUGAAGGUUUUACUCACCCAGCUGAGCUGUUAUCAUGACUCGAACAGAAUCACAGAACUUGUCUAUAACUCGUACAGGACGACGCGUUGACAAAUCAAGCAGCAGGAUAUGUCCUCCUCCUGUCCCUAUCCACAGGGCAGUAUUUUUCUGCAGACAAAUGGUCUUCACUCUUCCAGAAUAAGCCAGUUUGUGUUUUGAUUCCUUAUUUAAUUUUUCCACUUUGUUCCUA